rnacentral:rRNA from 1 species
UACGUAGGGUGCAAGCGUUAAUCGGAAUUACUGGGCGUAAAGCGUGCGCAGGCGGUUGUGUAAGUCUAACGUGAAAUCCCCGGGCUUAACCUGGGAAUGGCGUUGGAGACUGCACGGCUAGAGUGUGUCAGAGGGGGGUAGAAUUCCACGUGUAGCAGUGAAAUGCGUAGAUAUGUGGAGGAAUACCGAUGGCGAAGGCAGCCCCCUGGGAUAACACUGACGCUCAUGCACGAAAGCGUGGGGAGCAAACAGG